rnacentral:rRNA from 1 species
AUGAACGCUGGCGGCGUGCCUAAUAUAUGCAAGUCGAGCGAACAGACGAGGAGCUUGCUCCUCUGACGUUAGCGGCGGACGGGUGAGUAACACGUGGAUAACCUACCUAUAAGACUGGGAUAACUUCGGGAAACCGGAGCUAAUACCGGAUAAUAUAUUGAACCGCAUGGUUCAAUAGUGAAAGACGGUUUUGCUGUCACUUAUAGAUGGAUCCGCGCCGCAUUAGCUAGUUGGUAAGGUAACGGCUUACCAAGGCAACGAUGCGUAGCCGACCUGAGAGGGUGAUCGGCCACACUGGAACUGAGACACGGUCCAGACUCCUACGGGAGGCAGCAGUAGGGAAUCUUCCGCAAUGGGCGAAAGCCUGACGGAGCAACGCCGCGUGAGUGAUGAAGGUCUUCGGAUCGUAAAACUCUGUUAUUAGGGAAGAACAAAUGUGUAAGUAACUAUGCACGUCUUGACGGUACCUAAUCAGAAAGCCACGGCUAACUACGUG